AGGAUUAAAGGCGUGCGCCACUACGCCCAGCUGUGAUGUCUUCUUGUUCAUGAAGGUGGUUUACUCCAUUAAUGAAACCCCAUCCCAUCAGUCUGGCUACUCCUACUUUCUGGAGAAGCAAAGGCAGCCGGUGAAAGGGGGUGGGACAGGGAUACCAUGGCAGAGACCACUUCCAGUGAAGUGAAGAAGUGAAAUCCUAGAUUCUCUGACAGCUACCUUCUUCUCUCUGUUCUCCCUGGGUGACUUUCUUAACUUACUUCUGCACUCCUCACAGGCCUGAAGAAACCAGUAGAGUUGAUGGAGAAUGGGCCAGCCAGGUCCUAGAGAGGCAAAGCCACGUGAGUGCCCUGAGUCAGCACGGACGAGAGGGAGUGAGGCUCUGGGCCAGGAGGCCCUUGGUGGAGCACCUGAUGGACACCCUGCUCUUCCUGGCCUCUUGUUCAUCACCAACAUAAUCCUCUGGGGUACCUACACAGAGUCUGCUCCUAUAACUCCUACCCCAUAG
rnacentral:lncRNA from 1 species